UCCCAGGUCUUUCUCUGCCUCUGUGGUGGAUAGUGGAGUGUUUCCCAUGUGGUAUUGGUAUGCUGGAUAUCCCUUCACUGGUAGCCUGGUAACAUACACUCCCAGGUCUUUCUCUGCCUCUGUGGUGGAUAGUGGAGUGUUUCCCAUGUGGUAUUGGUGUGCUGGAUAUCCCUUCACUGGUAGCCUGGUAACAUACACUCCCAGGUCUUUCUCUGCCUCUGUGGUGGAUAGUGGAGUGUUUCCCAUGUGGUAUUGGUGUGCUGGAUAUCCCUUCUCUGGUAGCCUGGUAACAUACACUCCCAGGUCUUUUUCUGCCUCUGUGGUGGAUAGUGGAGUGUUUCCCAUGUGGUAUUGGUGUGCUGGAUAUCCCUUCUCUGGUAGCCUGGUAACAUACACUCCCAGGUCUUUCUCUGCCUCUGUGGUGGAUAGUGGAGUGUUUCCCAUGUGGUAUUGGUGUGCUGGAUAUCCCUUCUCUGGUAGCCUGGUAACAUACACUCCCAGGUCUUUCUCUGCCUCUGUGGUGGAUAGUGGAGUGUUUCCCAUGUGGUAUUGGUGUGCUGGAUAUCCCUUCACUGGUAGCCUGGUAACAUACACUCCCAGGUCUUUCUCUGCCUCUGUGGUGGAUAGUGGAGUGUUUCCCAUGUGGUAUUGGUGUGUUGGAUAUCCCUUCACUGGUAGCCUGGUAACAU